GCUCUACGGUUUGUGCCCCAGCCACAAAAUGGAGGACGACGACGGUGCUAGCAGCAGCAGCCGCGGCAGCCUCCGCCUCCUCCUCCUCCUCCUCAUCCCCCACUCCCUCCCCCAGACCAGGGAAAGAGAGCAGAGACGCGGCAGAGCGGGGAGCGCGCGCUAGGAAGUGGCGCGCGAGCGCACGGGCUCGCGCAUUGCGGGGCAGCCGAGGGGGAACGGUGCAACCUGUUGACUGAGAACGGCAACUGCAACCCCCGGCAGGGCCUCUUCCUCCCCCCCCCCCACCGCUUCUUCAAACGUGCCCCUUUCCGCUAACAGUUUCUUUUUUCCUUCUUGCCUCCCUUCCUUUCUUUUUUUCUUUUCGGUUUCUUAUCUUGUCCGCUGCAGCCUACGGUGGGUUUUUGGGAGGUUUGGUAUUUAUAAGCAGCAUCUUGAUUUAGGAAGCUCACUGCGUUUUAAAAAGGUAACUGCGAUGAGUGACAGGCAGCCUUCGCGAAUUUCAUUUAUGGGGAAAUCCUAAUCAACCUGGUGAACUAAUUUUUUAUUUUUUUAAAAAAAAUCAGGUCUGGGCUGUUCAAAGGGGGGUGAAAAAAAAAAAGCGAACGAGGGACGACGAAAACAGGCAACAAACCUUCCGAGAGGAUUGAAGGGCCAUCGCUGACCCGUUAAGCCGAAAUGACAGGAAAAGAUUUCGUUUGAAGACUACUUGCAAUUGUCUGCUUACCUGGUGGAGAGUAGAAUGUCUAAACUCCCAGCUCGCAGGCCAGAUGAGUCAUGGGUUGGCCACGCCCACACGACAGUUGGAACAGAGUUCUUUUCAGUUUGGUUUUGCAGCCCAACAAGACAGACACAGACUUCAGAGGAUAAUUAGAACUGCAGAAAAAACAAUUGCUACCAACCUGCCUUCCAUUGAGGACCUGUAUACUGCACGAGUCAAAAAGAGGGCUGUGAAAAUAUUUACAUCCUGGACAUAAACUAUUUACAUCCUGGACAUAAACUGUCGGGCUGUUCUCCAAAGCACCUGAGGGUAGAACAAGAAGCAAUGGGUGGAAACUGAUCAAAGAAAGAAGCAACUUAGAACUAAGGAGAAAUUUCCUGACAGUUAGAACAAUUAAUAAGUGGAACGACUUGCCUUCAGAAGUUGUGAAUGCUCCAACACUGGAAAUUUUUAAGAAAAUGUUGGAUAACCAUCUGACUGAGAUGGUGUAGGGUUUCCUGCCUGGGCAGGGGGUUGGACUAGAAGGCCUCCAAGGUCCCUUCCAACUCUGAUGUUAUGUUAUGUUAUGUUUCAACUUCUACCCGCAAAAUGACACUAUAGAGCACUGCACACCAGAACAACUGGAUGCAAGAACAGUUUUUUCAUGAACACCAUCACUCUGCUAAACAAAUAAUUCCCUCAACACUGUCAAACUAUUUAUUAAGUCUGCACUACUAUUAAUCUUCUCAUUGUUCCCAUCACCCAUCUCCUUCCAUUUAUGAUUGUAUGACUGUAACUUUGUUGCUUGUAUUUUUACAAUUUAUAUUGAUAUUGAUUGUUUCCUGAUUGCUUAUUUGUACCCUAUGACUAUCAUUAAGUGUUGUACCUUAUGAUUCUUGAUGAAUGUAUCUUUUAUAUACACCGAGAGCAUGUGGACCAAGACAAAUUCCUUGUGUAUCCAAUCACACUUGGCCAAUAAAAUUUUUAUCCUAUCCUAUCCUAUCCUAUCCUAUCCUAUCCUAUCCUAUCCUAUCCUAUCCGCAAAGCUCUAAAAUAGCAAACCAUCAUUCUGUUGGCAACGCAUGAUAGAUCUUGGAACACAAUUAGAAUGUCUUCAUGGUCUUCCUUGUUCUUGGUCUCAUCAACCAAAAAUCCAGCAAAAUUAUUUCAUUAAUUGAUUCCAUAACCUUCUGCAACUAUUUUACCCAUGAUGGGGAUUAUUUCAUUUUGGAGCUGAGGCUUACUGUAUUUCAUAUUUGCACUGGUCCUUAAAUUUGUUUUUAUUGUUUCUCAUAGAAAACUGAAGUACUGUAAUUGCAAGAACCACUUUCAUUUUCUUCUAAUUGCUCACAUCAUUAGUCAGUCCUGAAAGAUGAUUGACAAACAACUAAAAAUUGAAUUGCUUCAGCAAUAUGCUUUCUUUAGUAUAUUUUAUUUUCUAUAACUUCAUUGUACAUAUUUUUUCUGAAGGCUUUAUCCUUUGUAGUUUUAAAAAAAGGUUAAUUUUCACUUUUUUGUGCUGCAGAAAAUUAUCUGUUCUGUUUUAUGGACUUGUGACUUUGCAUGUAGGGUUCUCCCCUCUGCCCUUUGCCUUUUUUCAACUGCCUGUUUCCUGUCAGCUUAUCCUGUCGUUAAAAAUGCUGAGUCAGAGCUUACAACACGGCAUUUCCUCCAUACAAAACAAAAUGCAACAUCUCCACCAAGUGAAUACUCUGGCAUUCCUGUGGUUUGCAAACCAUAUCUCUGCAAAUGGUCAGACAACAACAUUUUUGAAUAUGAUUUAGAGGUACCUAAAUCAGAUGACAUGUAAAGAGGAAAAUACCUAUUUAUUAAUUUGUCCAUUUAUGCAGCCACCCAUCUCUGAGUUAUUUUUCAGUUGAGUUAUAUGUUCUCUUUCUAAAGCAGCUGAUAGAAGAUGGUUAGAUUCAGCAUUUUCAUCUCUUAAAGAAGUUACCACUUUUCCUUUGAUAGUAGUUAUUAGAUUAGAUUAGAUUAGAUUAGAAUUCUUUAUUGGCCAAGUGUGAUUGGACACACAAGGAAUUUGUCUUUGGUGCAUAUGUUCCCAGUGUAUGUAAAAAAGACAAGAUACAUUCGUCAAGAAUCAUAAGAUACAACACCUAAUGAUAGUCAUAGGGUACAAAUAAGCAAUCAAGUCAUACUAGGGAACAAUAUAAAUCAUAAGGAUACAAGCAACAAAGUUACAGUUAUGCAGUCAUAAGUGGGAGGAGAUGGGUGAAAGGAACGAUGGGAAGAUUAAUAGUAAUGAAGACUUAGUGAAUAGUUUGAUUAAAUUUAUUCUAACGAAGUGAAGAUUUACUUUAAAGUCACAAUAGAGGCAAUAAUAGAGCUGACUAAGGGUCUGCAUGUAAGAGCCAAAUUAAACAUUGAGUUUUUAAAGCUGCACCUGUGCCAGAAACUUCACAGUUUACCAAUCUUAUCAGAGUCAAGCACAAAAUCACGGGGUUUAAAGUGCAGAAGCCUGGACUGACUUUAUGAUCACUUCAAAAAUAGAUCUGAAAAGGUUGAUCUUUUUGUCUUUCUCAAGCAUUUCUCUCAGAAGUAUUACUGCGUCUAGCAAAAUUUAUGACCACCAGCUGCUCCUGAAUGUCUACAGUGGAGGCAAGAAGAGCAAAUGAUGGCAUAGGUUUAUUGUGCAGCAGAUCUCAUGGUACCAUCACAGCUGCCAUCAUGCAAAGAACGUAAUUGGGUCAUUUACACAAGGAUAUCAUGGGACCCAAGUUAUAUUGUCACCAUGUCUUGUUUCAGAGGCCUGUGAUAUUCAGGCUUCUUUCUUUCUGAGUCCUUUCCAGCAGCUAGGCAUGAUAACUUUGCCUAGCAUUUUUCUGCCCUAAUUAUUUGUUUAAAAAAGGAGAGCAAGGUGGAGAAAAUGUAGGGAUCUUUCACCUAUGUAGAGGUUUACAGAUUUGUACCUGCAGUUUCUGUGAUUGAAUGAAAAUUAUUAAGAGGAGAAUUUCCCUCACAACUGGAAAAAAAUUUUAAUUGCUGGAGGACCAUGAAAACUUUGGUUUUUGACAUACCUGUUUGAAAUAGCCACAGCAAAAAUAAAAAUUAAAUCCUUGGUAGAUGGAAGCCAUAUCAAGAAAAGAGCUAGUUUAUGCGUUAUUCAGUCACUUCUGCAAUACAAUUUUCUUUGAUAAGUAGAUUAUAAACUUUAAAAAAACUUCAGGCUUUAAAAGUGCCUGGUUUUAUCUUCUAUCCAAAGUACUGAACUAUUGGCAGCAUCAUUUGACUCCUUAAAGACAAAGUCCUUUAUUUGUGGCAAAGAAGCAAUGAAAAAAUAAUCUUUGUAUUAACAAAAAGCAUUUGUGCUAAGACUCCUCGUGGUGCUAUAAAACUCUGGAUGUCCAUUUAGCAGCAGAAAAUAUUUCUUUUGGUGGUUAGUGCUUUUUUCCCAAUCUUGAAAUAUUUUCUCUUGCCUAGGUCAGUCAUUGCUUUUUGAGUGUGUGUUGGUUUUUUGUAAAUAAAUUGUUAUCCUUUUGAACUGUAAUUCUUGGCUGAGUUAAUCAUUUCCCCUUGCUGCUGUGAAGCUAAUGAAAACCCUUUUUUGUGAAAAUUAGGGAGAAUGUGAGCUAAUUAAGUAAGUAAUCCCUAUUUGAAAGUUAGAAAGAUCAAUUGCAUAAACCAGAAAAGGCUACAGUACAUAUGUCUGCUAUACAUGUACCAUACUUUUCUGAAAACAUGUCAGUUUUGAAUUUUUUUUUGCUUCCAAAAGAAUUUAUAUACCCGUGAGAACAUAGAAUUCCCAGAAAGACCAUUGGAAUCAAAUUUUACAACUUUAUGACAGAGGUUCAGGAAAUCUGCUGAUUGGGUAAUGCCUAUAUUUUCCAGAUUUAUUAUUUUUAACAAAAAUUUCUUCAUGUGCUAAGGUUUUAUCAAGUUACACUCUGGAAGACUGAGUUGGAAAAUUCCAUCAUCAUGUGUUUUAUCACUAUAUCUAAUAAGCAUUAGAGUAUAUAAACAUUUAAUUAUAAUAUAUUAAAAGUAAUAGCUAAGUAAUAAUCAAGAGGAUUUCAUUAAAUGUCUCUCUAGCACUGGCCAAUCUGUUUCUGUAGACUUGGUGCUCACAGUUGUUACGAAUGCUAUGACAUUCCAAAAUGACACCAAAGUAUCAGCUUACGUAGAGUAUCCAUCAUCUCAUCUAACAGGCUAAAUGAAACUUGAUUAUUUUUCUUUUAGUGACAAUAAUCCCAAAGCAGGAGAUUUAUAUUAUCAAAACAUGGAAGGGUUUCUCUAGUUCUUUAGAAUAAAAUUUAGGACAUUUCCAAGGGGUUAGAAAUAAUAAUCAAGAUACUAUUCAGAAGAUAGGACUGGGAAUGACUAGCAGAUAGUUCAAAAGCUCCAGCAAGAAGCAAGAGUAGAGAGUUUUUAGUAGAGAGUUGAUAGGUUUAAUUAAGGAGUAUAAUUUUUCUAAGAUCAUCUUUAGAGGUAGAAUCAUAGGCACACAAUUGCACUGAAAUGCUAUGAAAAUGUCUGGUAUCAACAUGCAGAAAUGAAGAAACACAUAAUACAAUACAACUUCUGGUUGAGUAAAUGAUAGAUCGGAAGGGACUGUAAAAUCUAAUCAUGUUUGAUCUCAAUCAGUCUUCAGCCGCUACACCCUUUUUAAUGAUUUUUUUAAGAUCCCAGAAAGAGGUUCUGAGAAGAUAUCUAC